UGCAAUGAGGGCAGCCCCCGGUCCCGCUCAGAGCACUUCCCAGGAAGGUCCAGGAAAAGGAGGACACGCCGCUGGCAGCACCAUGCUGUCAGGAGAGGAUUCAGACAGAGUGGCUUCACUUCAAAAUCCAAACAUCCCUGUACACAGAAAGCAUAUGCUCUGGUUUUUAUUUUGUUUGUUUGUUUGUUUGUUUUUAGCAGAAGGUAAAGGCUUUUUGCACAGGUUGUCAGACCCACGUACCUAGAAACAAGUGGAAACAAGAAGACAUAGGAAACAGUAAGACGCAGAAAGGAGUGAUAUGAAAGUGCCCUACAGAAGAUAAUGGGUCCACUAUUUGUCUCUUUGGGACAGUCAAAAGAGUCACAUCGAAGGAGAGGCUCGA